AACUGACAUUCUCUGACAAAUGCAGCAUUAUGGAUUCACUGUAGGAUGAAGCACAGAAAAUAUGAGACUGAGCCAAAACUCUUUUAAAAUAACUAAUUACCAGGAUUGUAGUGACAUUUCAAUGGGUAAUGCAUCCUACAGAACAAACACACAUACAGUGGAGAUAUUGACUUUAGUGUCCAAGUUAUGCUUGUGGAGCUGAGAGCAGAAUUCGGACAAUCAUUGUUCUUUGAAAAUAAGGCAACACCCAUGUCCAAUUACUCAUGUGAAGUCAGGCCUACAGCAGGAUGGAGAAGGAAGAGAAUCAAAUGGCAUCAAAUAGUGGUCUAAAGUGAUCACUAAAGAAGAACUCACAGAUAAGUUGAUCCAAGAGGGCUGAACUUCAGGCCUGUUGUAGAACUGUGUUGCAGUGAAAAGACAACACACAAGAGAUAGUAUCAGAAAGGUUCCCUACUGUCCAGUGAAAUCACUAAAGAGCUGAAAUCACUGAGAACUGGGCUGAGUGGUGGAACCUCAGAACACAGUGUCACAGUAAAAUGACAGUGAAGAUGGCAAUGACAGCAGCAGUGACAAGGAACAAGAAAUGACAAACAGUGGUAGAGACUGCAGAUACAUUGAGGAGCAUAGGUGGAGGCAAUAUUCAACCAGCAUCUCCCCUCAGAGGUGGGAGAUGAACCCACCCAAGUGCAUACCCGGAUUCUGUGGAUGUUGCUGACCUCAGACAAGACACUCUGAGUAGGGUACAGAGGAGGGAAAAGGGGACUGGCAUGUUAAAGAGACAUUUACGCCUUGGAUUUUCACACCACAAGGUGGGAAACUGAGAAAAAGGACACUGAUCAUAA